UGUGGUCAGGAUUCCUAUUCCCACAGGCUUCAUAUUAAGCCCCAUUGUCCAUCUCUUUCUUUCUAGAUUCCCCAGCCUCUAGGGGUAGCUUAGCCCUCCACCCUAAGAGAAACCGAGACAGGAGUGAGUCAGACAUUCCUCCCUUGCCGACUCACCCAGACUGCCUGGGAUCAGAAUCAGCCAACACCCAUUGCAAACUCACUGGUUACACCCGCCAGCCUCACACUGAUACCCACCCAGCUGUGCCUCUAAGGGUGGUGCGUGGCUUGCUGUUUCUCGGAGGCCCACACCCUCUCUGCAGCUUUACCCUCUACUUUAACCCUCCUACAGAAGCACAGAAACACGUGAUCCUGGCCCCUGGGAGGCACCUCCAGUUUCUUAGGAGUCAGGACAGAGGAAGAGCUGCCUUUAGAAGCAGAUGACUUACAAGUUCUGGGGGAUCCAGCUUUGACAGUCUCACAUAAAGCCAUUCUGGGCCCAGCCAAGGAGCCAUCACCCCUAAAGACAAAGAACCCUGUAGAAGUUGGGCAUUCAGAAUGAAGAGUUCUUAAUAAAAUAAAGCUUUCGUUUGGA